rnacentral:rRNA from 1 species
UACAGAGGUGGCAAGCGUUGUUCGGAAUUACUGGGCGUAAAGGGCGCGUAGGUGGCCUCUUGAGUCAGACGUGAAAUCCCCCGGCUUAACCUGGGAACUGCCUGUCAGACUGGAAGGCUUGAGACCGGGAGAGGUGAGUGGAAUUCCCAGUGUAGCGGUGAAAUGCGUAGAUAUUGGGAGGAACACCAGUGGCGAAGGCGGCUCACUGGACCGGAACUGACGCUGAGGCGCGAAAGCGUGGGGAGCAAACAGG